rnacentral:rRNA from 1 species
GAAAGCAUCUAAGCUCGAAGCCAACUCCAAGAUUAAUCUUCUUUUAAGAGCUCUUAUAGACUAUAAGUUUGAUAGGCUGGGUGUGUAAGUGAUGUAAGUCAUUUAGCUGACCAGUACUAAUAGCUCGUUUGCUUAUCUUAUUUUAU